rnacentral:rRNA from 1 species
AAUGAACGUUGGCGGCGUGGAUUAGGCAUGCAAGUCGUGCGCGAUCCGUAGCAAUACGGUGAGAGCGGCGAAAGGGAGAGGAUAGCAUAGAUACCUACCCCCGGGCCUGGGAUAGCUAUGGGAAACUAUAGGUAAUACCAGAUGAUGUCCCCGGACCAAAGGUGUGAUUCCGUCCGAGGAGGGGUCUAUGCCCUAUUAGCUUGUUGGUGAGGUAACGGCUCACCAAGGCAAAGAUGGGUACGAGGCGUGAGAGCGUGUCCUCGCUCACUGGGACUGAGACACUGCCCAGACACCUACGGGUGGCUGCAGUCGAGAAUCUUCGGCAAUGGGCGAAAGCCUGACCGAGCGACGCCGCGUGCGGGAUGAAGGCCUUCGGGUUGUAAACCGCUGUCAGUGUGGAGGAAAUAUAGAGGGGUUCUCCCCUUUGUUUGACCUAUACGCAGAGGAAGGACGGGCUAAGUUCGUGCCAGCAGCCGCGGUAAAAC